UUUCAUAUAUUUAAAGCUAGUGUGUGUUUCACUUUUUGUGCUUAAAAAUUAAUAAAUAAGAUUUGGUUGUGGUAUUGUUUUUGUGUACGGGAAAAAGUCCUUCUACAAUAUAUCAUAUAUUCCUGAUACAUUUUUAACUGGAAAGGUAUCUAGCUUUGUAAGAUUAUAACUAUUUUGAAUUUCAAUAAACUUAUCGGAGACUAUUGUUUGGACUAUUUUUGAAGAGCAUCUGAUUCACUGUUGCUGUUGUGUUCUGGAUAUAUUUCGAUCUUAAUUCAUGUCUUUACUUGCUGGCCGAAAAGAUAAUUUUCGCAAAUAAACAAAGGAAUCUACUCUAAGGAAUUGUUGUCUUCUUCUUCGAGCAAUCCAUUUAACACUCGAAGAUAUCUCAAUAUUUUGAAAGUCGGGAAUUGAUUUCUCCAAAGAACUUACAUUACUUCGAUUGGUGUAAACUGUGCAAGAAAAUGGUUAUACUAAAGCAAAAGAUUCAAAUAACUCCAGGCUUCUCUAAUUUUUUACGGGAAUAUACUAAGAAGCAAAUGCAUAAUACUCGCAACUCUCUUAUUAUGACUGCAGUCAACAAAUGGUGUUAUUUAAGUGCUGGAAAGAAAAACUAUUAUCGUUAUAUGAAAUUGAAGCCCAAACAUUCCAACAAGCAAAAACGUUCUGCUGUUAAGAAGCGAAAGGUCUUCACAGUUAGAAACAAAGCUUAUGGCUCCAAAAAACCAAAAACCACUGGACAGGUUACAAAUGCUGCUUACUUUAAUUAUCUACGGCACUUUCUCCGUGUUAAUGGUGGCAUAGAAUCGAAGGAGUUGAUAAAAAGGGCUGCAAAAAAUUGGUGCAA